rnacentral:rRNA from 1 species
UCGCUCCUACCGAUUCCGAGUGAUGAGGUGAACCUUUCGGACUGCAAAGGAAGUUAAGUAAACCUUAUCACUUAGAGGAAGGAG